GGCCUGUUAGCUCAGUCAGUUGAGCAUGGCACGAACAAUGCCAAGGUUGCGGGUUCGAUUCCCGUUCAGUCCC
rnacentral:tRNA from 1 species